rnacentral:lncRNA from 1 species
UCUCGAAUAAUCUUUGUCAUCUUGAAUCCAUAGUCGUGUAGUCCUCCAUUAAACUAUCAUCCUUCUCUUAUCACGUUUUCUUGGAUCAUAUUCGGACAACCAUAUUAUCUUCCAUUCUAUCAAGAAACUCAUUUUCUUAUGACAAGCUCUCUAUUCCACAACUGAACGUGAAUCAACACCUUUUUUUUAUGAUGAAAAUGUAAUGCAAUCAUAACAAAAAAAGAAACAGGUUAGUACAAAGCAAAAGCAAGCAAGAAUAAAUAGAACGUCUUUUCAGGUGACCACUAGGGGUUUGAAAUGGCUCUACCUAGGGUGAGCUCCUAAGGUCAUCUAUAUGUGGUUCGGUUCUGAAGUAAGGGUACCUGAACCAGCAAAUUCCUCGAUCCUCACCCAUUAUAGGCUCAUACAGACCGAAUUCAGUUCAGGGGGAUACAUUUCCCUAUGGCUACACGGAGAUGAAAAUCUCACGAAGACAUAGGUACGGAUGUAUCCCGAAAGCGAUCCACUAUCCUGCACGGAGGUGAAAACCUCACGAAGGACUAGUUUCUCACUCCCACUUAGAGGGGUAAAAUCAUUCAACUCAUGCAAUGUAUAAUGCAAAUAUCAAUUAAGCAAGAAAAUAAUGAAUGCAAAAGGAUCUCAAAAUUUUUUUGACAUAAGACAGAAAUUAAUUAAUUUUUGGCUCGACUCUCGUGUUUGUCCCUAGUGGAGUCGCCAAGCUGUCGAAACUAACUUUUAUUUUGAAAAAACAAAAAUUAGUUGUCGAUGAAAAUUGGAGUCGCCACCAAUCUUUUAUUGAGCUGUGAUUGGAUCACCUAAAAAUUAGCUUUGGUCUACGAGUAUUAGAAAAAAUGGAUCCGGGAGUCGGUUACGUACGAGGAAGGAUUAGCACCCUCGUAACACCCAAAAUUGGUACCUAGUUAAUUAAUUAGUGUCUUAAUGUCGAAAAUUUAAAAAUAUGAUCCUUAAUAAAAACUUAAAAAACGUUACUUAUUAAGACUCUUAUCAUUUCGGAGAAAGAAAAUGUCACACCCAAUGCGUUAGGGCACGACAUUCUAAUUCCUCAAAAAUGAAUUAUUCCAAAAUACUCGUGUAAUAAAAUUUAAAAGAAUAUUCAUUUGUUUAAGAUUUAUAAAGAAAUCGUGUCCCAAUACGUUAGGGCACAAUUUCUCAAAAUCCUAAACUUGAAAUAUUUCCUUUGUUAUUAUUUUUUUUAAAAAAAUCUUUGUCUCAAGAAAUCAAUACGUCACAUCCAAUACGUUAGGAUACAACAUAUUAAAUUCCCGACAACAAGCUUUUCAUUUUAUUUUUUGAUUAAUGAGCAAUUCUUGAUUGUUAGAUUUAACGAAGAAAAUUGGAACCCAAUACGUUAGGGCUCAAUUUCCUUGAAAAUCCUAAAUACGAGUAUUAUCUCAAUUUUGAAAAUUUUAAAAUCGAGUAAAAAAAUGAUGUAAUGCUACAUUAAGUGUAAAAUACAAUAAUAAAUACAACAAUGGCAUAGAAAUAAAUGAAAUUAAUGUACAUAAAAAACAACGACAUGUAAAGUAUCAAAUGAACAAAAUAUAAAUGAAAACAUAAAUCAAUAAGCAAAUGAAGGAAAUAAACAAAAAAAAAUAUAAAGAGAAAAAAAGGUACAAAAUAUAUACAUGAAAUUAUAAAGAAUAAAAGACAUAUACAUGGGUUUACAUAUAAAAUUUUGGACUAUAGAAUUUAUAACAAAAUAUAUAUAAUGCAUUUAUGAAAAUAAAGAAAUAUAUAUAAAUAUACAUAUAUAUAUUAUAACAUAUGUGUUGAAAAUAUAAGUUUGUAUUUAAGCAAAUAAAAAACAUAGACAUGUGCGUGUAUAUAUAUAAAAAUAUUCAUUAGAAAAAUAUAUAAAUACAUACAUGUACAUAUAUACAAAAGUAAAAAAAAUUGAAACUAAAUAUAAAAGUAUAUAUAUGUAUAUAAAAGUUAGGAAGUAAAAUAAAAAUAAAAACAUAUGUAUAAUAUAUAUAUAAGCAUACAUAUACUAUAUAUAAAACAAUAUAUAUUACAUAAAAACGAUGCAUGCGCAUGAAUAUAAAAAAUAAUAAUAAUGAUGAUACAAGAUUAAUGAUGCCACAUAAUAGUAUUAAUAAUAUUAAAAUAAUUAAUUUAAUAAUAAAAAACUAAAAUAACAAAUAGAGGAUUAAAUAGCAUCAAUAAUCAAAGACUAAUGAAUUUAAAACAAAGAGUAUAAAAUAAAAAAAAUAUAAUGCCAAAUAAAAUGUAAACAAAUUUGAAAAUAAUGAAUUUGAAAAUGAAUAAUAAGAGAAAAAGAGAUUUGAAAUCAACAAUAUACAAAUCAAUAAAUAAAUUAUACACAAAUCAACAAAAUACGAAUGCAAGAAAGAGAGAAAUUUGAGUAAAUACUCUUAAGAAUUAUUAUUACUCCCCACUUCCCCCUUUACAAUGAAGGGAGAGGCAUCUAUUUAUAGUUGAGCCUCCCCAAAUCCAACGGUACUGAUUAAUUACAUCAACGGCUAAGAUUAAAAUGUAUCUACAAAUUAAAUCUCUAAGAUUACAAAAUCAUAUCUUCUAAGAUUGCAUAUCAUAUCUAAGAUUGCAUAUCAUAUCUAAGAUUACAUAUCAUAUCUAAGAUUGCAUAUCCUUGAAGAUUAUGUUUCCAUAUGCAUCAAGCUUGUAGAUAGACCUUCAACCUUUUCAAGUAAUGGGCCAUCCCGAUCGGGCCAAAUGAUAUAAUUUUGGAAUUUAUUUUAUUAUUUUGGGUUUAUUAUUUUUUUAUGAGCCCGGGCUAAAUUGGCCUAUUACAACAGUGAUUUAGUGAAUACAAGACGUUCAAUUGCGGGUGGAGGAAGCAAUCAAACAAGCCAAAGAAUUCAAGUUGCAAUAACACACUAUCAAAGAAAAAUGAACAAUACAAAUUUAGAAUCUUUACGAAGCAAAAAAUAGAAAUUAAAAUUAUCUUUGCAACUUGAAAUUCAUUUCUUUAUCAAAUUAGUUGUCAUGAUAUAAAAGCACUUUAGGCCUCGAUGGCCUCGAUAAUACAAUCACAGAUGGCAUGCCUUAGUCUAUUAAUCAAAACCUUCUGUAGAAUUAGACUAUCCUUGUGAGGUGAACACAUUUUGAAAAUAGUUUAGAGCAAUUUGCAUAAAUUAUUCGUCCUCAAAAUCUUUGAUCAUGUUAUUAUGUUGAUGCUUUGUAGGUAUAUGUAUAAUUGAGCUAAAAUUAAGAUUUCAUUUAUAUAUUGAAUUAAAAUUAAAUUUAUAUUUAUACAAUUGCACCAAAAUAAAAUUUUAAAAUCACAUUCUACAUCAAAUUAAAACAAUUAAAGACUUUGUAAUUCUUAAACGGUAUUUAAUAAUUAAAUAUAUAAUUUAAUUAUUUUUAUUUUAAUACAUUGGAAUAUUAAAAAUAAAAAAUAUUAAAAAUAAAAAAAUAUAAUUGAAUUAUUUUAAUUAAAUAUAUAAUUUAAUUAGUUUUAUGCGUUUAAUUAUUUUUAUUUUAACAAAUGCAUUAUUUAAUAAAUUGGAAUAUUAAAAAUAAAAAAUAUCUAAACUUUACUUGAAUUACAAAAAUAAACAAAUGCAUUAUUUAGUAAAUUGAAAAACAAACGCAUAAAACCAAUCCAUAACAAUAAAAUUAAAACUUGAAUAAUAAUUGAAAAAUAAUAGUUAAAAUUAAAAAUAAUAAAAAUAAAUUGUUUUGCACUAACUAUUACAAUAGUCACUCAAACCUGAUUUGCACUAACUAUUACAACCACCUUAGUCAACUAAUCAAAUAAUCGAACAAGAAAUGAAACAAACAAGCUAGUCGAAACACUAGUUGCGCAUAUUCUCAGUAGAAAUCAACUCUUAAAACUUGAUCAAUCCAAAUUAAUCAUCUGCUAACAGUUUGACUUCAUGCUUAUCAAACAAUUUACUAGUGUUUACUAGUGUAGAUAUAUAGCAAUAUGACUAUUCCCGAUUAAAACAGUUUACUAGUGUUUGAGAAAUUGAAUUGGGAGACUAAUAAGACAUCAUAAUUGACCUAUGCUAUCAUUUUCUCAAACAUGCCAUAGUCAAACACUUUACAAUGUUAUUUGUUUAAGAGCUGCGAAUUGCAAUCUUAAUCAACCUCAAGUUCUGAAUGGCAUAGAAAAAGGAAUUACAUAGAAAAAGUAAUCCAUAUACAAGAGGUAUCUUUAGAUACAAAAAGUAAUCCAUACUGUUUUGCACAUACAUAUUUAACUUUGUAAAGAGAACAAUAUAGCUCAUGGUGAAUAAAUAAAAAAACAGGGCAAGUUUCAUAUUCAUUAGGCGCAAGGUGAGCAGAUUCUCAGUAGAAAUCAACUCUUAAAACUUGAUCAUUCCCAAUGGAUCAUACUUAGCCCGACCGAAACUUAUAUAGGACCCAAAACAGUGGCAUAAGCAAAGAAACAAAUUUAUUAUAACGGUACAUGAAACGAGCAACAACAACUUUCCCAACAUUAUUGAUAUCUUUUUGUUGUAAAUAUAGAUUAUUAUGUGAAGGGAACAAAUAUAUACUGUGAGUGAUAGAUAUCAUGUUCGUCUCAAGUGUGUAGUUAUUUUUCAUUGUUUAUUUUUCCUCACAAUUAAAGACUAGUAUUUCGAAAAAUAAUGGGGAGCUCCAUAGUUGUGAAAGAGCUUUAUUUUUCUAAUACCUACAACUAAUGAAGAAUGGCAAGAAAUGGUGUAAGUUAUUUGUCUAAGAGCUGCGAAUUGCAAUCUUAAUCAACCUCAGGUUCUACAAAAGUGCAAAUAAUUUCUUUCUAAAAUGAGAAACAAAUUGUCAAUACAAAAUCUUAAUCAACCAACUAGCAUCAGCAUCCUCAAUAAAAAGACUUGUCAAUGAUUAGACCCUUAAAACAUUGACAGGAGGUAUGCCUCAAUGGGAUCAGUACUUUAGUUUUAACAUCUAUAAACUGCUUUAAAUCUAAUUAGAUCAAGAAACUACAUGGCAUAGAACACAAAAGAAGGGCCAAGUAGAAAAAAGAAGGGCCAAGUAGAAAAAAAUCAUCCAUAUUAAACUCAGCAAAGGUUUGCAAAACUCAAUAUGGCAAGCUUAAUGAACAUAAAGAGAUAAAGGAAACGCUAUAUUAAACUCUAUAUUAAACUCAGCAAGUGUAGAUGAAGGAAACGCAGGAAUCCUAGGGUGGGGUUAGUCAUAAACUAGUUAGAGAUCAAAACAAGGUUAAGCUUUAAACAUAGCAUCCCAGGACCAAUCCAUAAAUAUAGUCCAUGAAAAGUUUAAGUGUAAACAUAAAUUUAAGUGUACACAUACAUGAUGCACUUUCACCUACUGAAAUCUUUUUAGAUAAAAGGUUGCAUUUCUUUAUGAAAUUGGAUAUGUUAAAAACAAUGUUUAACACAAAAUUAAGAAGAAAAGCAUAUAAUCUUUAUGAAAUGCAUCUAAACUACUUUGAAACAAAGCCAGUUAAGAGAAAUCAAUACCAAACUUCUUUUUCUUUUCUAAUCAAGAAAUUUCAUAUACAAAGCAUACCAAAUUUACAGAUCCUAUUUUUUUUCCUUCCAUAUCCAAGAAAAAGGAACAUUCAAAGUGAAUAUCAAAUUUGCAAAUUUGGGUUUGUCUUAUUUCACCAAGAUAUCCAAAACAAAGCACAACCACAAUAGGAAAAGUUCACAUUUGCAGAACGAACAGACUUCUUUGAAGCUAAAGUAAUCACUUUUAGCAUGACAAAGACCUUUUAUUCUUUUUUCAUUUUGAACAUUUUUUAUACCAUUUUCAUGUUCAUAUUUGAAGUUUGAAUGGAUAAAUACAAGCGAUAACAGAAACAGAAAGUGAAAAGAGACAGCCCAAUAAGAUGCAGAAAGUAUAUCAAACCAAAUAAUUGGAAACAACCUUUGCUUUGCUAGUUUAUAUCCAAAUAUGAAAGGGGAAAGGAAAAUUUGAAAGAACUAAAAUAACUUUAACUAAAAAAAUCAGAGAAAAAAAAAUGGAAUCAAAGGCACUUACUGUAAAUAAGGACGUUCAACUAGAAGGAAGAUGAAGAUGGCGAAUGGAUGCUUGAUUUGUCGUCGAUUAAGGAGCUAAUUUCUAAGGUUCAGUUUGGGGAUAAAUGUUGCGGAAGAAAUCUGCAAAAGUGAGUGAAAACGAUGAAGAACAGAUGCGUGCUAUUUUGGUCCAAAAAGGGGAGAAUGUUAUUACGGGUGGUUUGGAAUAGCAAUUCAGACAAACGUGCC